UCUUUUUCUCUUUAGUGCCUUUGAAAUCAAAUUAAUCGGGACUAAAUAUUAGUGAGUUAGUUUUUAAGAUAACCUCUCCUCACGCUCCGGGAUACGGACCUGCUCCGGGAUACGAACCUGCUCCGGCCGCCCAGCAAUAUCAACAACCUCGUCAAACCUAGCAUCCGAUGUAAUCUCCCGAGUUAUGAUAAAGUGCAGUCAUAGUUGUGGCUAUCUAUGGACCUCCUAAUCCCCUCCCACUCCGUGGGAACCAACCAGAUCACGUGACGAACCAACUCUAAAAAUCUCAUGUUGUGAUCCUGGCAUAGCUACUCAAACAACCUAUGCUACUCCUCCUGGUGGGUCUGUGGAACAAACUUCUCCAAGAAGAGAGCGAUGAACUCGUGCCACAUAAGUGGUGCAGCACCGGCUGGCCUGCUCAACUCACAGGCCUCCCACCAUCUGAAGACUGCCCGCGAUAGUUGAAAAGUAGUAAAUGAGACUCCACUAGUCUUCAAAAUUUCUGAAUUUAUAUAUACACCAUGGACAUUUCAUGUAUUAAGUGUGGGGUGGGAGAUUAUAUAUAUUUAUAUAUAUGACGGGUUUUGGUACCAUGUUUUGAUAAUCAUUGUAAU
rnacentral:lncRNA from 1 species